rnacentral:rRNA from 1 species
UACGGAGGGUGCAAGCGUUAAUCGGAAUUACUGGGCGUAAAGCGUGCGCAGGCGGUUUGUUAAGUCUGCUGUGAAAUCCCCGAGCUCAACUUGGGAAUUGCAGUGGAUACUGGCAGGCUGGAGUACGGUAGAGGAAGGUGGAAUUCCCGGUGUAGCAGUGAAAUGCGUGGAUAUCGUGAGGAAUACCAAGUGCGAAGGCAGGACUCUGGACAUUUUCUGACGCUGAGACACGAAGGCCAGGGGAGCAAACGGG